AGAAUACACCCUUCAUCCGGAAAUACUUAUUAUCAAAAUAAAUUAAAAUAGAUGUAUCUAGAACUAAAAUAUAUCUAGAUACAUAUCUUUUUAUUCAUCUUGAUGACAAGUAUUUCCGGACGGAGGGAGUACAUC
rfam:Triticum aestivum genome assembly, contig: Triticum_aestivum_CS42_TGACv1_scaffold_199766_3AL